rnacentral:tRNA from 1 species
ACAGCGAUAGCUCAGGUGGUAGAGCAUCUGCUUGGCAAGCAGAAGGUCGUCGGUUUGAUUCCUGCUCGCAGUG